rnacentral:snoRNA from 1 species
UGGAUCACUGAUGAACACUGGUACUGUAUGAAUCAUGGAUGUGACUACAGGUCUUGGAGUCUGAGGUCCAC